AUUGAACGCUGGCGGCAUGCCUUACACAUGCAAGUCGAACGGCAGCACGGGGCAACCUGGUGGCGAGUGGCGAACGGGUGAGUAAUGCAUCGGAACGUACCUUUCGGUGGGGGAUAACGUAGCGAAAGUUACGCUAAUACCGCAUAUUCUGUGAGCAGGAAAGCAGGGGAACGCAAGACCUUGCGCUGAUUGAGCGGCCGAUGUCAGAUUAGCUAGUUGGCGGGGUAAAGGCCCACCAAGGCGACGAUCCGUAGCUGGUCUGAGAGGAUGAUCGGCCACAAGGGAACUGAGACACGGUCCAGACUCCUACGGGGGGCACCAGUAGGGAAUAUUGGACAAUGGGCGCAAGCCUGAUCCAGCCAUGCCGCGUGAGUGAAGAAGGCCCUCGGGUUGUAAAGCUCUUUUGUCCGGAAAGAAAAGCGCCGGGUUAAUACCCUGGUGUCCUGACGGUACCGGAAGAAUAAGCACCGGCUAACUUCGUGCCAGCAGCCGCCGUAAUAC
rnacentral:rRNA from 1 species